rnacentral:rRNA from 1 species
AAAUUGAAGAGUUUGAUCAUGGCUCAGAUUGAACGCUGGCGGCAGGCCUAACACAUGCAAGUCGAACGGUAACAGGAAGCAGCUUGCUGCUUCGCUGACGAGUGGCGGACGGGUGAGUAAUGUCUGGGAAACUGCCUGAUGGAGGGGGAUAACUACUGGAAACGGUGGCUAAUACCGCAUAACGUCGCAAGACCAAAGAGGGGGACCUUCGGGCCUCUUGCCAUCAGAUGUGCCCAGAUGGGAUUAGCUUGUUGGUGAGGUAAUGGCUCACCAAGGCGACGAUCCCUAGCUGGUCUGAGAGGAUGACCAGCCACACUGGAACUGAGACACGGUCCAGACUCCUACGGGAGGCAGCAGUGGGGAAUAUUGCACAAUGGGCGCAAGCCUGAUGCAGCCAUGCCGCGUGUAUGAAGAAGGCCUUCGGGUUGUAAAGUACUUUCAGCGGGGAGGAAGGUGUUGCGGUUAAUAACCGCAGCAAUUGACGUUACCCGCAGAAGAAGCACCGGCUAACUCCGUGCCAGCAGCCGCGGUAAUACGGAGGGUGCAAGCGUUAAUCGGAAUUACUGGGCGUAAAGCGCACGCAGGCGGUCUGUCAAGUCGGAUGUGAAAUCCCCGGGCUCAACCUGGGAACUGCAUUCGAAACUGGCAGGCUUGAGUCUUGUAGAGGGGGGUAGAAUUCCAGGUGUAGCGGUGAAAUGCGUAGAGAUCUGGAGGAAUACCGGUGGCGAAGGCGGCCCCCUGGACAAAGACUGACGCUCAGGUGCGAAAGCGUGGGGAGCAAACAGGAUUAGAUACCCUGGUAGUCCACGCCGUAAACGAUGUCUACUUGGAGGUUGUGCCCUUGAGGCGUGGCUUCCGGAGCUAACGCGUUAAGUAGACCGCCCGGGAGUACGGCCGCAAGGUUAAAACUCAAAUGAAUUGACGGGGGCCCGCACAAGCGGUGGAGCAUGUGGUUUAAUUCGAUGCAACGCGAAGAACCUUACCUGGUCUUGACAUCCACAGAACUUUCCAGAGAUGGAUUGGUGCCUUCGGGAACUGUGAGACAGGUGCUGCAUGGCUGUCGUCAGCUCGUGUUGUGAAAUGUUGGGUUAAGUCCCGCAACGAGCGCAACCCUUAUCCUUUGUUGCCAGCGGUCCGGCCGGGAACUCAAAGGAGACUGCCAGUGAUAAACUGGAGGAAGGUGGGGAUGACGUCAAGUCAUCAUGGCCCUUACGACCAGGGCUACACACGUGCUACAAUGGCGCAUACAAAGAGAAGCGACCUCGCGAGAGCAAGCGGACCUCAUAAAGUGCGUCGUAGUCCGGAUUGGAGUCUGCAACUCGACUCCAUGAAGUCGGAAUCGCUAGUAAUCGUGGAUCAGAAUGCCACGGUGAAUACGUUCCCGGGCCUUGUACACACCGCCCGUCACACCAUGGGAGUGGGUUGCAAAAGAAGUAGGUAGCUUAACCUUCGGGAGGGCGCUUACCACUUUGUGAUUCAUGACUGGGGUGAAGUCGUAACAAGGUAACCGUAGGGGAACCUGCGGUUGGAUCACCUCCUUA